CCUACGGGAGGCAGCAGUGGGGGAUAUUGCACAAUGGGGGGAACCCUGAUGCAGCGACGCCGCGUGGGUGAAGAAGCGCCUCGGCGCGUAAAGCCCUGUCAGCAGGGAAGAAAAUGACGGUACCUGACGAAGAAGCCCCGGCUAACUACGUGCCAGCAGCCGCGGUAAGACGUAGGGGGCAAGCGUUAUCCGGAUUUACUGGGUGUAAAGGGGGCGCAGACGGCGAUGCAAGCCAGGAGUGAAAGCCCGGGGCCCAACCCCGGGACUGCUCUUGGAACUGCGUGGCUGGAGUGCAGGAGGGGCAGGCGGAAUUCCUGGUGUAGCGGUGAAAUGCGUAGAUAUCAGGAGGAACACCGGUGGCGAAGGCGGCCUGCUGGACUGCAACGGACGUUGAGGCCCGAAAGCGUGGGGAGCAAACAGGAUUAGAUACCCCAGUAGUC
rnacentral:rRNA from 1 species